AUCGCUUCUCGGCCUUUUGGCUAAGAUCACAUGUAGUAUCUAUUCUUAUCAGUUUAAUAUCUGAUACGUCUGCUAUCCGAGGACAAUAUAUUAAAUGGAUUUUUGGAGCUUGGAGUUGAAAUAGGAGCUUACUCCGUCGACUCCACGCAUCCACCUGGUAUUGCAGUACUUCCAGGAAUGGUGCACCCCUC
ensembl:snRNA U2 U2 spliceosomal RNA